rnacentral:rRNA from 1 species
UGCAAGUCGAACGAACUCUGGUAUUGAUUGGUGCUUGCAUCAUGAUUUACAUUUGAGUGAGUGGCGAACUGGUGAGUAACACGUGGGAAACCUGCCCAGAAGCGGGGGAUAACACCUGGAAACAGAUGCUAAUACCGCAUAACAACUUGGACCGCAUGGUCCGAGUUUGAAAGAUGGCUUCGGCUAUCACUUUUGGAUGGUCCCGCGGCGUAUUAGCUAGAUGGUGGGGUAACGGCUCACCAUGGCAAUGAUACGUAGCCGACCUGAGAGGGUAAUCGGCCACAUUGGGACUGAGACACGGCCCAAACUCCUACGGGAGGCAGCAGUAGGGAAUCUUCCACAAUGGACGAAAGUCUGAUGGAGCAACGCCGCGUGAGUGAAGAAGGGUUUCGGCUCGUAAAACUCUGUUGUUAAAGAAGAACAUAUCUGAGAGUAACUGUUCAGGUAUUGACGGUAUUUAACCAGAAAGCCACGGCUAACUACGUGCCAGCAGCCGCGGUAAUACGUAGGUGGCAAGCGUUGUCCGGAUUUAUUGGGCGUAAAGCGAGCGCAGGCGGUUUUUUAAGUCUGAUGUGAAAGCCUUCGGCUCAACCGAAGAAGUGCAUCGGAAACUGGGAAACUUGAGUGCAGAAGAGGACAGUGGAACUCCAUGUGUAGCGGUGAAAUGCGUAGAUAUAUGGAAGAACACCAGUGGCGAAGGCGGCUGUCUGGUCUGUAACUGACGCUGAGGCUCGAAAGUAUGGGUAGCAAACAGGAUUAGAUACCCUGGUAGUCCAUACCGUAAACGAUGAAUGCUAAGUGUUGGAGGGUUUCCGCCCUUCAGUGCUGCAGCUAACGCAUUAAGCAUUCCGCCUGGGGAGUACGGCCGCAAGGCUGA